GUACGUACAAGCAGUGGGAGCACAGGUUUACCUGUGUGACUGCGUACCUUUUGUAUAAUGGGUCAGCGACUUAUAUUCUGUAGCAAGGUUAACCGAAUAGGGGAGCCGGAGGGAAACCGAGUCUUAAUUGGGCGUUAAGUUGCAGGGUAUAGACCCGAAACCCGGUGAUCUAGCCAUGGGCAGGUUGAAGGUUGGGUAACACUAACUGGAGGACCGAACCGACUAAUGUUGAAAAAUUAGCGGAUGACCUGUGGCUGGGGGUGAAAGGCCAAUCAAACCGGGAGAUAGCUGGUUCUCCCCGAAAGCUAUUUAGGUAGCGCCUCGUGAAUUCAUCUCCGGGGGUAGAGCACUGUUUCGGCUAGGGGGCCAUCCCGGCUUACCAACCCGAUGCAAACUGCGAAUACCGGAGAAUGUUAUCACGGGAGACACACGGCGGGUGCUAACGUCCGUCGUGAAGAGGGAAACAACCCAGACCGCCAGCUAAGGUCCCAAAGUCAUGGUUAAGUGGGAAACGAUGUGGGAAGGCCCAGACAGCCAGGAUGUUGGCUUAGAAGCAGCCAUCAUUUAAAGAAAGCGUAAUAGCUCACUGGUCGAGUCGGCCUGCGCGGAAGAUGUAACGGGGCUAAACCAUGCACCGAAGCUGCGGCAGCGA
rnacentral:rRNA from 1 species